UGAGGAAUAUUGCCCAAUGGAGGAAACUCUGAGGCAGCGACGCCGCGUGGGUGAAGAAGGCCUUCGGGUCGUAAAGCCCUUUUCUGUGUGACGAGAACGGACGGUAGCACAGGAAAAAGUCUCGGCUAACUACGUGCCAGCAGCCGCGGUAAAACGUAGGAGGCAAGCGUUAUCCGGAGUUACUGGGCGUAAAGCGUGCGUAGGCGGAUGGGUAAGUGGGUCGUGAAAGCGCCGGGCUAAACCGGGCGAGGACGAACUAGACUGCUCAUCUAGAGGCGGAUAGAGGGGUGCGGAAUUCCGGGUGUAGCGGUGAAAUGUGUAGAGAUCCGGAGGAACACCAGUGGUGCAAACGGCGCCCUGGGUCCGAACUGACGCUGAGGCACGAAAGCGUGGGGAGCGAACGGGAUUAGAGACCCCGGUAGUCCACGCCGUAAACGAUGUCAACUAGGUGUCCACGCGCCUACGGGUGCGGGGGUGCCGAAGCCAACGCUAUAAGUUGACCGCCUGGGGAGUACGGUCGCAAGGCUAA
rnacentral:rRNA from 1 species